rnacentral:rRNA from 1 species
CGCCGACGACCGGCGCACGGGUGCGUAACGCGUAUGCAAUCUACCUUAUACUGGAGGAUAGCCCAGAGAAAUUUGGAUUAACACUUCAUAGUAUGUUUACCUCGCAUGGGGAAAACAUUAAAGGUUACGGUAUAAGAUGAGCAUGCGUCCUAUUAGCUAGAUGGUGUGGUAACGGCACACCAUGGCAUCGAUAGGUAGGGGCCCUGAGAGGGGGAUCCCCCACACUGGUACUGAGACACGGACCAGACUCCUACGGGAGGCAGCAGUGAGGAAUAUUGGACAAUGGAGGCAACUCUGAUCCAGCCAUGCCGCGUGCAGGAAGACUGCCCUAUGGGUUGUAAACUGCUUUUAUACGGGAAGAAACGGCUCUACGUGUAGAGCUUUGACGGUACCGUAAGAAUAAGGAUCGGCUAACUCCGUGCCAGCAGCCGCGGUAAUACGGAGGAUCCAAGCGUUAUCCGGAAUCAUUGGGUUUAAAGGGUCCGUAGGUGGAUAAUUAAGUCAGAGGUGAAAGUCUGCGGCUCAACCGUAGAAUUGCCUUUGAAACUGGUUAUCUUGAAUUAUUAUGAAGUAGUUAGAAUAUGUAGUGUAGCGGUGAAAUGCAUAGAUAUUACAUAGAAUACCAAUUGCGAAGGCAGAUUACUAAUAAUAUAUUGACACUGAUGGACGAAAGCGUGGGGAGCGAACGGGAUUAGAUACCCCGGUAGUCCACGCCGUAAACGAUGGAUACUAGCUGUUCGGACUUCGGUCU